AGCGAACGCUGGCGGCAGGCCUAACACAUGCAAGUCGAACGAACCCUUCGGGGUUAGUGGCGGACGAGUGAGUAACACGUGGGAACGUGCCUUUAGGUUCGGAAUAACUCAGGGAAACUUGUGCUAAUACCGAAUGUGCCCUUCGGGGGGAAGAUUUAUCGCCUUUAGAGCGGCCCGCGUCUGAUUAGCUAGUUGGUGAGGUAAUGGCUCACCAAGGCUACGAUCAGUAGCUGGUCUGAGAGGAUGACCAGCCACAUUGGGACUGAGACACGGCCCAAACUCCUACGGGAGGCAGCAGUGGGGAAUCUUGCGCAAUGGGCGAAAGCCUGACGCAGCCAUGCCGCGUGGAUGAUGAAGGUCUUAGGAUUGUAAAAUCCUUUCACCGGUGAAGAUAAUGACUGUAGCCGGAGAAGAAGCCCCGGCUAACUUCGUGCCAGCCGCCGCAGUAAGAC
rnacentral:rRNA from 1 species